rnacentral:lncRNA from 1 species
GAGAAUCUUGAAAUUUUUUGCGAACUAAACAAGGCCAAAGAUACACGCAUUUGUUUAGUUUGACAACAUAUCUUAUUUCUGAGUUUAAUGCGCACGUGCCCAUGUUGGUGUGGUGAGCAAGCCUUCUCUUCUUUCCUCGUUGCUUUCAUGUUGUGGGUGCCGCCUCGCCUCCAGGAGAGCGGAUUCAAAUGUGUUCACAUGGACUGGUGAUGGCAAAAUGGAGGCCGUGAGAUGCGAAAGAACCAUUGUACAUUUUACAAAAUAAGGAUGAUCAGAAAAGUAAGAAGGUUCAGUUAGUUCCGAGUAACUGUAGGUAGUAGUUGUGAUCAAUGCUGAUAUCUGGGAUGCAGUGGACAAACAUGAUAUGCAGUAAAGUGAACUCUAAUUCUACCUUCAAGUGAGCAAGGGAAUCGAUCAUCUCAGUGGGAUUUCACACACAGGGCUUGUCCAGUGCCCAUAACAGCACAUGAGCUCUGAUUUGCAAUGGCAGUUACUGUGUAACCUAAAAUAAAUGGUUUCACUAUUUUUCCCUUGAAAAUACAAUCUCUAGUUUUGAACUUUUGGAACAUGUCUAAAUCCUGUAGAGCUCGCCGUGUGUGUCGCAGUGUCCCCAAUGCCAACAGCAGUCCAGAAUUAGUUCAGGCUGCAUCAAGGGGAAGAAAGGGAUCGGAGGAACCCAGGCUGGUACAAGCCAAUCAGGAGGGAGGCUGCAACACCUGCUGUUUGGGGACAACUACUAAAAGCCUUCACUCAUGUUAGGUUGUGAAUAUGUAGGCCAAACUUUUAUGCAUACAAAUGCCAAGCUUUUGGGCAUAGAGAUGCCAACUUUUGGUGUCAAGAAAUGACAAUCUACAUGUCACUGCAUUGAUGAGCAGUAUGUCUACAAGGCCUCCAUUCAUCUGUUUCCGACGCUCUUCAGUGGUCUCUCUGCCAAUCAGCUCUCCAAUGACUUCAUUGCUGCAGCUUGGGUGCAGCUUAAACCCAUAAAGCAAGCUACUCUCACUUGGGCUCUUCAUCUUCAUAUGCAGGAUCUCUGUUAGUUCUAUCGAGCUGAAAUCAUCAAAAUACAUGCACAGUCCAUUACAGACAUUAUCUCCUCCAAGGCUUCUAAACCAUAAUCCUUGUCAUCGGAUUUUUGCAUUGGUAUCAACCUGUAAGCUUCAUCCACGAAGAGAAUAACCCCCCCCCCCCGCCUCUUCUUAAACUGUAAUAAUAGAAAUACGUUCAGAAUUUGUUUCACAAUUUCUCUGGUAUUGAAAAUUGUGCAGCAAAACUUCACAUGGCCCCCUCUACUUUUUUUUAAUGUCACGGGAGGAGAGAGGAUCCCCACCCAAAUUUGCAUCGACAGUUUUGUUUACGGGCCUGUUUGGUACAGCUCACAACAGCUGUGAGCUGUUUUUUUUGCCAAAUACUUAUUUCCAAAACAGCUUCAUGGGUGAAGCUGUUUUUUCCCUCCUCUCACAAAGACAUAAGUUGGAUGAAGCUGGAAAAAAGUAGCUUAUUGCAGCUUCUCCCUCAUUUGUCUCUCUCAACUAUGCAUGAAGUAGUUGGUGAAGCUAUUUUGCCAAACACUUUUUCUAAAACAGCUCAGCUUCAUCUAGAAAGUCACUCAUGAAGCUAUUUUCUAAAAAAACAGCUUCACUAGUGAAGUUGAGCUGUGCCAAACAAGCCCUACAUUGUUUACAGCUUACAAAAACAUCACUUUAACAGCCUGAUUGAUUUUCCAGCUUGCUUAUUACAUGGCUGCCGAAAAAAUACCACACCAUACUUCUACAGCCGUCCUCUGUCGAACUGGAAGUCUCAGCUUCCACAAAGCGGCAUCAGAAAUACAGGUUCAGUUUACUUUGUCAGUAGAGAGAACAGAAGCCAUGUGAAGGACCUUUCCAAGGGGAGGACAGGCGUGGAGGAGGCGGCGGCGCCCGGCGUGGAGGCGGAGGCGCCGCCCGUCGGUGCAGGCGAUGUGGCCCAGCGUUGAGUGGAGGAGGCGGCGCCCAGGGCCUGCGAUGAGUGGAGAAGGCGGCGCCUGGCCCGACGAGGAGUGGUUGAGGAGGCGGCGCCCGGCGCGGCGUUGGAG